rnacentral:sRNA from 1 species
GCGAUGAGCUGAGUUGUGUAAGUCGAGAAACAUUCCUUUAUGGAGCGCACUAUGUGGAGUGUGGUUUUUCGCCUCAAUACGCAAAAGACGCCUGAUUAUUCAGGCGUC